ACUUCACUAAUGUUGCACUUAGCCUUGCUGAAUGACAUUAAACCAGAAGUUGCUAUCUAAGAAAUCAACCCAUUGCAAAAAAGCCUAAAAUUGAUUCUGCAAAAGAAGUUGUUGCUAUGGAUAGUGAACAUUAUUAUUUGCUCAAAGAGAAGGAACCUAACUUAAGUGACAUUUGUAUUUUGUCAAGGAAAGCCACAAAAAUGUGAGUUGGUAGCUCUUCACUACUGUUUAUUGUUACAAGCCACGAUGCAAUGACCUGAUUAGGGCCAAAUCGUUUUUGGUAGAUACGAUUUUGCUCGAAAUAUAGCGUGCGUGUGUAUCCAGCGACCAACUUGCUUUCUAUCAUAGUCUGCACUUCGAUUGAAAGCCUGAUGUAAGGAACCCAAAGCGAAAGAUGAUUUAUCUUAAAUUUUCCAGCACCAACCCCAUUUGCUCUAUGAAGUAUGUUUUCAGCAGUGUCGCAAGUAAGGUUCAAAGUAAACUCUACACCAAAGAAAGCCGAGUCAAUGUCUUUGACGAAGCCCAAGAUGUCAGCGAGAGGAAGCAUCAUGGUGACGUCUUUAGCACCGGCGCAAAGCUGGCGGCAAGCAGCGAACCCAAUGUUGAAGUUAGGGUUUUCUGUUGCGUUAAGAUCUAAGUUAAAGUAUUGCCGAAAGAGGGCGCCAGUCACACCAGCUGAUAAGCAAAAAUAUGUAUUUGCUCCUGAUAAGGGAUUCUAAGUUCUGUCUUGUUAUAAUAUUAAUAUACGGUUAGAAAUCAAAAUGGGAACAAAAAAUUAUUGUUAUACUCACCCGAUAAUCCGAAACAUCAAAAUAAUCAAGUAAAAGUCUUGUAAUAAGGUUUCUAUUGGACGUCUUUACAUUCCAAUUAGUGAUUUUAGCUUUGUAUUAUAUUUAAUAUUGUGUCCAAGAGUAAGAAAAUAAACUGAAACAUUAUUUU